rnacentral:rRNA from 1 species
UACGAAGGGGGCUAGCGUUGCUCGGAAUGACUGGGCGUAAAGGGCGCGUAGGCGGAUGGCACAGUCAGAUGUGAAAUUCCCGGGCUUAACCUGGGGCUGCAUUUGAUACGUGUGAUCUAGAGUGAGGAAGAGGGUCGUGGAAUUCCCAGUGUAGAGGUGAAAUUCGUAGAUAUCGGGAAGAACACCGGUGGCGAAGGCGGCGACCUGGUCCUUGACUGACGCUGGAGGCGCGAAAGCGUGGGGAGCAAACAGG